AUCCAGCUGACGAAUCCAGAACAGGAUAAAACGCGCGUUCUGGAU
rnacentral:hammerhead_ribozyme from 1 species